rnacentral:sRNA from 1 species
GUUUCCAUUUGAGUAUCCUGAAAACGGGCUUUUCGGUAUGGAACGCAUAAUCUAAAUAGUAGGAGUGCAUAGUGGCCCGUAUAGCAGGCAUUAACAUUCCUGAU